UACGUAGGUGGCGAGCGUUAUCCGGAAUUAUUGGGCGUAAAGAGCGCGCAGGUGGUUGAUUAAGUCUGAUGUGAAAGCACACGGCUUAACCGUGGAGGGUCAUUGGAAACUGGUCGACUUGAGUGCAGAAGAGGGAAGUGGAAUUCCAUGUGUAGCGGUGAAAUGCGUAGAGAUAUGGAGGAACACCAGUGGCGAAGGCGGCUUCCUGGUCUGUAACUGACACUGAGGCGCGAAAGCGUGGGGAGCAAACAGGAUUAGAUA
rnacentral:rRNA from 1 species